AAAGACAAAAAAAAAAAAAAAAAGUGCACUGUCACUUUGAAAUAAACAAAUAGAAAAAAGGAAUUACAAUGUAUCUGUCCUUUAUUUUUGGAUUAUUCAUGAUUCUCUUUGCUGCUGCUGAGAGUUCUCCAUAUGAGGCCAUUAAUGAUACUCGACAGGCAGUCACCUCCCAAGACAAUGAGGACGAUACUUGUAAUCCUUCCAAGAUGGCCAUAAAAUGUUGUAUAUGUUUGAAUACACUAGCGAAAUAUUUACCCAUAAUAAAUGCACUGAUUGACAAGAAAAUAAACGCUAUAUGCCGUGCCAACAAAUUGCUCUGGGCACCAUGUAAAAUACUUGCCAAAAAGAUUAAAAAAAAGGUUUUCAAAGGAUUUUUCCCAGGACUAUCCCCUCGCAAAUCCUGCGUCAAGUACAAAAUGUGCUAAUUCUGGGAUUGAUUAAACCUAUAACAAGUCAAUCAAAGUACCAGCUCUUUAGAUAAGAUUGCUCACUUGUAUGUUUUGGCAGAAGCAUGAGCUAAUAAAUGUUUGAAUGCAAAAGUGGCAUGAGCAGGUGAUUCAUUCUGUAUUUUUUUAUUUUAAUUUUUUUGAAAACACAUCUAAAAUACACUUACAUUAAGAGAAAAGGAUUUAAUGUCAUUUAGUGAUUUAAUAUCUCUAAACCAGUUUUAAUUCAAUACAUCAAAAAUCAAUUAAUCAAUUCAAGAAUUCAGGAACAAUAUUACUGAUGGUUAGGUGAACUGAAGAGACAGUCAGUGUAGAAAAUGCUGACAGGAGCUCUUAGGAACACACUUUGACACUUUGGUCCACCCACAGUGGCUUUGGUGCCUUGAACAUCAGCACUCCAAAACACUUGCAUAGACAUUUAUUAUCUUCAGCGUUCUUCGUAACUGUGAAGAAGAGGAGCACAGACAAACACAAGAGAGAUAUAGAGUGUGAAAAGUAUCACUUCAACUGAAAAUCGUCUGAAAUCUUGAAGAAAGCGGAUGUGUUUUAGCUAAGCAUCUUAUUAAGUAGAGGAUUUGAAGAAUAAUGUCGCCUGUUGUUCAUUUUGGACUGCUUGUCGCAUGCUCAGUUAUUGUUGGGUGUAGCAGCAUAACUAACAAGGCACAAUGGAAAAGCAUGCUGGAGAGAAAAAGCUGAACCUUCCCGAAGAAUUCAAAAUGAGUCAUGAAUUGAACAUAGAGAACUCUGAGAUGAAUGCCAUUAUGUGCUGGAUUUGCAAGAAGUCAAUUCAUGAGAUCAAGGGUGUGAUUCUCCAUGAGAUUAAAAAGGAAAUACAGGCAGUGUGCAAAGCAAUGAAAAUCCUUGAACACAUCUGUGAGCACAAUGCUUACAAAUACCAAUUCAUGAUACUUCAUCUACUGUUUCCUGGUAAUAGCGAACAAACCUGUCACCAUUUGAGCAUGUG